rnacentral:pre_miRNA from 1 species
AUCGUACUCCAUCCGUUUCAUAAUUCUUGUCGAAAUAUUACAUGUAUUUAGGCAUUUUAGGAAUGGAUACAUCCAUUUUUGAAAAAAAUUGAGACAAGAAUUAUGAAACGGAUGGAGUACAGA